UACGUAGGCAGCAAGCGUUGUUCGGAGUUACUGGGCGUAAAGGGUGUGUAGGCGGUUGUUUAAGUUUGGUGUGAAAUCUCCCGGCUCAACUGGGAGGGUGCGCCGAAUACUGAAUGACUUGGAGUGCGGGAGAGGUGAGUGGAAUUCCUGGUGUAGCGGUGAAAUGCGUAGAUAUCAGGAGGAACACCGGUGGUGUAGACGGCUCACUGGACCGUAACUGACGCUGAGACACGAAAGCGUGGGUAGCAAACAGG
rnacentral:rRNA from 1 species